rnacentral:rRNA from 1 species
GGGUUGUGAGGUUAAGCGACUAAGCGUACACGGUGGAUGCCCUGGCAGUCAGAGGCGAUGAAGGGCGUGCUAAUCUGCGAUAAGCGCCGGUAAGGUGAUAUGAACCGUUAUAACCGGCGAUACCCGAAUGGGGAAACCCAGUGUGACUCGUCACACUAUCAUUAACUGAAUCCAUAGGUUAAUGAGGCGAACCGGGGGAACUGAAACAUCUAAGUACCCCGAGGAAAAGAAAUCAACCGAGAUUCCCCCAGUAGCGGCGAGCGAACGGGGAGGAGCCCAGAGCCUGAAUCAGCAUGUGUGUUAGUGGAAGCGUCUGGAAAGGCGCGCGAUACAGGGUGACAGCCCCGUACACAAAAGCGCAUGUGCUGUGAGCUCGAUGAGUAGGGCGGGACACGUGGUAUCCUGUCUGAAUAUGGGGGGACCAUCCUCCAAGGCUAAAUACUCCUGACUGACCGAUAGUGAACCAGUACCGUGAGGGAAAGGCGAAAAGAACCCCGGCGAGGGGAGUGAAAAAGAACCUGAAACCGUGUACGUACAAGCAGUGGGAGCCCCACCACUAAGCCAGUGGUGAACUCCACAUACGCAUCCUUUGCUGAGGAUACGGUUAACGGAGCGAAAGCGACGUUCAACCUCAAAAGAAGCAGAGGGGGCUUAGUGGUGGGGUGACUGCGUACCUUUUGUAUAAUGGGUCAGCGACUUAUAUUCUGUAGCAAGGUUAACCGCAUAGGGGAGCCGGAGG